UACAGAGGGUGCGAGCGUUGUCCGGAAUCACUGGGCGUAAAGGGCGCGUAGGUGGCGACCCAAGUCCAUGGUGAAAGCUCGAUGCUCAACAUCGAGUCGGCCACGGAUACUGGGUUGCUGGAGCACUGUAGAGGCAGAUGGAAUUCCGGGUGUAGCGGUGGAAUGCGUAGAGAUCCGGAAGAACACCGGUGGCGAAGGCGGUCUGCUGGGCAGCCACUGACGCUGAGACGCGAAAGCGUGGGGAGCAAACAGG
rnacentral:rRNA from 1 species